rnacentral:misc_RNA from 1 species
AACGCACCUUGCGCUCCUUGGUAUUCCGAGGAGCAUGCCUGUUUGAGUGUCGUGAAAUCAUCAACUCAUUUUACUUUUGUAAUUUGAGCUUGGAUUUGGAAGUUGCUGGCUCUUGAAGUUGGCUCUUCUUGAAUGAAUUAGCUGGAUUUGAUUUGCAGCAUAUAUGCGGUGUGAUAAUGUCUUCACUGUGUAGCUCAAGUCAUUUGGCUUCUAAUCGUCCUUGUAGGACAAUCUUGACUAUCAAGACCUCAAAUCAGGUAGGACUACCCGCUGAACUUAAGC